CCCCGCUGUUCCUAAAAGAAAGAUUAAGGAUUUGAGUUGGCCUGACGGAGAGAUCUUCCAGGCGACUCCGGCCCAUGGAGGAUGCAGAGCAUCACAUCAGAUCAAACAUUGAUAAACCAGUACUUUACCAGCGUUUUAUCAAUAUCUUUAAAGGACGGGGAGUUUUUGCCACUGAAUUCAUAUCCAAAGGAGACUUUGUUGUGGAGUACCGAGGUGAACUGCUUACACAACAGGAGGGCGAGGUCCGAGCUGAUCAGUACAAUGAUUCUGCAAAGGUGUUUCUUUUCGAUGUUCAAUGGAAAGGAAGAACAUGGUGCAUUGAUGCAUCUGAAGAAGACUCCUCCCUUGGGAGACUCGUUAAUGAUGAUCACUAAAGACUCAAUCUCAAAAUGAAGGCCAUACAAGC